CGUCGCCCGAGAGCGGGGACGAGGAGGUGUCGGGCGCGGGUUCGAGCCCGGUGUCGGGCGGCGUGAACUUGUUCGCCAACGACGGCAGCUUCCUGGAGCUGUUCAAGCGGAAGAUGGAGGAGGAGCAGCGGCAGCGGCAGGAGGAGCCGCCCCCGGGUGGGCAAACGCAGAGGCGGGAACAAACUAGCCCUCAAGACGGGAAUAGUAGCCAAGAAGCAGAAGACGGAGGAUGAGGUAUUAACAAGUAAAGGUGACGCGUGGGCCAAGUACAUGGCAGAAGUGAAAAAGUACAAAGCUCACCAGUGCGGUGACGAUGAUAAAACUCGGCCCCUGGUGAAAUGACGCCCCUCCCCCACCUGCCCAUGGCCUGGGACUCUCUGCGAUGUACAUAACUAUUUAAUGCAGCGGCAGCGGCGACAGCCUUCCCUGAGAGGACUUAAAAGCAGAAGGAAACCGAGAUGCUUCCCGCAGCCGUGGACGAUUCUCCAGGACUCUUUUUUUACCUUGAGCACUUGCCUCGUGAGACUUCAUAGAACAGUGGUUUACUGUCCCCCCCUUCUCACCUCCUCAUUCUCUCUGGCUCUUUCUGUCUUCCUCUUCUCACCCUCCUCCCUCCCCUUAGCCAUCACUUCUGGGAAGUAAAGAACUUGACUU
rnacentral:lncRNA from 10 species